rnacentral:rRNA from 1 species
ACAGUGUCUGGUGGGUAGUUUGACUGGGGCGGUCUCCUCCCAAAGCGUAACGGAGGAGCACGAAGGUUUGCUAAUCACGGUCGGACAUCGUGAGGUUAGUGCAAUGGUAUAAGCAAGCUUAACUGCGAGACGGACAAGUCGAGCAGGUGCGAAAGCAGGUCAUAGUGAUCCGGUGGUUCUGAAUGGAAGGGCCAUCGCUCAACGGAUAAAAGGUACUCCGGGGAUAACAGGCUGAUACCGCCCAAGAGUUCAUAUCGACGGCGGUGUUUGGCACCUCGAUGUCGGCUCAUCACAUCCUGGGGCUGAAGUAGGUCCCAAGGGUAUGGCUGUUCGCCAUUUAAAGUGGUACGCGAGCUGGGUUUAGAACGUCGUGAGACAGUUCGGUCCCUAUCUGCCG